rnacentral:pre_miRNA from 1 species
UACAAUGUUAUAACUUUUCGUUUUAUUUGAUUUUUUUAUUAAUAUUUUUAUUGAUACUAGACGAUAAAAUAUGAAUAUUAUUUUAUGCAUGACUAAUUUUUUAAAGUUUUUUUAUAAAAUUUUUAAAUAAGAUGAAUAGUCGAACGUUGGACACAGAAA